GUAGGUGGCAAGCGUUGUCCGGAAUUAUUGGGCGUAAAGGGAGCGCAGGCGGGAAGGUAAGUCUAUCUUAAAAGUGCGGGGCUCAACCCCGUGAGGGGAUGGAAACUAUCUUUCUUGAGUGCAGGAGAGGAAAGCGGAAUUCCUAGUGUAGCGGUGAAAUGCGUAGAUAUUAGGAGGAACACCAGUGGCGAAGGCGGCUUUCUGGACUGUAACUGACGCUGAGGCUCGAAAGCGUGGGGAGCGAACAGGAUUAGAUACCCUGGUAGUCCACGCCGUAAACGAUGAAUGCUAGGUGUAGGAGGUAUCGACCCCUCCUGUGCCGGAGUUAACGCAAUAAGCAUUCCGCCUGGGGAGU
rnacentral:rRNA from 1 species